UUUCCUACGGGAGGCAGCAGUGAGGAAUAUUGGUCAAUGGGCGGAAGCCUGAACCAGCCAAGUCGCGUGAGGGAAUAAGGCCCUACGGGUCGUAAACCUCUUUUGCCGGGGAGCAAGGGCGGGGACGUGUCCCGGCCCGGAGAGUACCCGGAGAAAAAGCAUCGGCUAACUCCGUGCCAGCAGCCGCGGUAAUACGGAGGGUGCGAGCGUUAAUCGGAAUUACUGGGCGUAAAGCGCUCGUAGGCGGUAUGUCAAGUCAAGGGUGAAAUCCCCGCGCUCAACGUGGGAACUGCCUUUGAAACUGG
rnacentral:rRNA from 1 species